CUACGGGGGGCAGCAGUCGAGAAUCUUCCGCAAUGGGCGAAAGCCUGACGGAGCAAUGCCGCGUGUAGGAUGAAGGCCUUUGGGUUGUAAACUACUGUCACCGGGGAUGAAUAUUGACAGUACCCGGAGAGGAAGCCACGGCUAACUACGUGCCAGUAGCCGCGGUAAUACGUAGGUGGCGAGCGUUGUUCGGAUUUAUUGGGCGUAAAGGGUUCGUAGGGGGUUAUUUAAGUCUGAUGUGAAAUCCCGCGGCUUAACCGCGGAACUGCAUUGGAAACUGAGUAACUAGAGGAUCAGAGAGGAGAGUGGAAUUCCGGGAGUAGCGGUGGAAUGCGUAGAUAUCCGGAAGAACACCGACAGCGAAGGCAGCUCUCUGGACGAUUCCUGACCCUGAGGGACGAAAGCGUGGGUAGCAAACAGGAUUAGAUACCCUCGUAGUC
rnacentral:rRNA from 1 species